UUAAAGCGAGAAAACGUUCAAGUUUUUCCUAAAGUGAAAUACAAACAUGGUACUACUUUUCAUGGGCUCAGCGAAAAAGUUAUGCUUUCCUAAACACCAGCAAAACAACAAUAACAAUUUAACAACGUUUUAUUCAACAUAACAAAGAACUUUCGUUGAAAUUGAAAACCCACUACUACUACUACGUUAAGCAAAA